rnacentral:sRNA from 1 species
GGCAACUGCUUCUUGGACGUUUCCUCCCUAAACUCAAGCGGUGCAUAUGCACCGCUUUUUUUUACCUAGG